rnacentral:rRNA from 1 species
GACGAACGCUGGCGGCGUGCCUAAUACAUGCAAGUAGAACGCUGAAGGAGGACCUUGCUUCUCUGUAUGAGUUGCGAACGGGUGAGUAACGCGUAGGUAACCUGCCUGGUAGCGGGGGAUAACUAUUGGAAACGAUAGCUAAUACCGCAUAAUAGUAGAUGUUGCAUGACAUUUGCUUAAAAUGUGCCAUUGCAUCACUACCAGAUGGACCUGCGUUGUUUUAGCUAGGUGGUGGGGUCACGGCGCAACAAGGCGACGAUACAGAGCCGACCUGAGAAGGUGAUCGGGCAAACUGGGAACGGGACACGGCCCAGGACCCUAAGGGAGGCAGCAGGAGGGAAACUUCGGCAAUGGAGGGAAGUCUGACCGAGCAACGGCGGGUGAGGGAAGAAGGGUUUCGGAUCGUAAAGCUCUGUUGUGAGAGAAGAACGAGUGUGAGAGUGGAAAGUUCACACUGUGACGGUAUCUUACCAGAAAGGGACGGCUAACUACGUG